CUCGUCUCGUUCCUGUACACAGAUUGGUGGGGCAAAGCCCGAACAGAGCCACACCCCCGAGGACCCGGCCGCGCAUACGACAUAGGACAUGACAAUGAAGACUUCUCCAUCCUCCAAGGCGACUAAACUCUUCACCAAGGAUUCAUCUGCGACCAAUGAUGGGAUCCCGAGGAAGAAGUCAGGAGACGAUGGAGGAACUCCGGAGAGAACAUGUGACCGGAGCUGCUCUCAGCAUGAGGACCAUGACAUGAAGCCGACUGAUG